AUGCUCUUUACAGCAACAUAUAUACUAAAAUUGGAAUGAUACUGAGAAGAUUAACAUGACCCCUGCUCAAGGAAUACACGCAAAUUCGUGAGGCAUUUCAAAUAAAA